rnacentral:rRNA from 1 species
GACGAACGCUGGCGGCGUGCCUAAUACAUGCAAGUUGAGCGCUGAAGGUUGGUCCUUGUACCAACUGGCUGAGCAGCGAACGGGUGAGUAACGCGUGGGGAAUCUGCCUUUGAGCGGGGGACAACAUUUGGAAACGAAUGCUAUACCGCAUAAAAACUUUAAACACAAGUUUUAAGUUUGAAAGAUGCAAUUGCAUCACUCAAAGAUGAUCCCGCGUUGUAUUAGCUAGUUGGUGAGGUAAAGGCUCACCAAGGCGAUGAUACAUAGCCGACCUGCGAGGGUGAGCGGCCACAUUGGGACUGAGACACGGCCCAAACUCCUGCGGGAGGCAGCAGUAGGGAAUCUUCGGCAAUGGACGAGAGUCUGACCGAGCAACGCCGCGUGAGUGAAGAAGGUUUUCGGAUCGGAAAACUCUGUUGGUAGAGAAGAACGUUGGUGAGAGUGGAAAGCUCAUCAAGUGACGGUAACUACCCAGAAAGGGACGGCUAACUACGUG